AUGUGCAGAACAUGCAGGUUUGUUACAUAGCUGUACGUGUGCCAUGGUGGUUUGCUGCACCUAUUGACCUAUCCUACCAAGUGUGUUGGGGACUUGAGAUGCGUACAUGAGUGUGAUGUUUCCUGCUGAAAGCACAGGUGAGACGUGGUCUUGUAACACAGUGGUUAAGAAUGUGACUUUGGAGCCAGCCUGCUAGGGGCUGAAUUCUGACUCAGCCAUUUACUAACUGUGUGACCUUAGGCUGGAGUGCAAUGGCAUGAUCUCGGCUCAUCACAACCUCUGCUUCCUGGGUUCAAGCGAUUCUCCUGCCUCAGCCUCCCGAGUACCUGGGACUACAGGCACUCGCCACCAUG
rnacentral:lncRNA from 1 species